rnacentral:rRNA from 1 species
AACGAACGCUGGCGGCAUGCCUAACACAUGCAAGUCGAACGAGAUAUUCGGGUCUAGUGGCGCACGGGUGCGUAACGCGUGGGAAUCUGCCCUUUGGUUCGGAAUAACAGUUGGAAACGACUGCUACAACCGGAUGAUGAUGAAAGUCCAAAGAUUUAUCGGCAGAGGAUGAGCCCGCGUAGGAUUAGCUAGUUGGUGUGGUGAAGGCGCACCAAGGCGACGAUCCUUAGCUGGUCUGAGAGGAUGAUCGGCCACACUGGGACUGAGACACGGCCCAGACUCCUACGGGAGGCAGCAGUGGGGAAUAUUGGACAAUGGGCGAAAGCCUGAUCCAGCAAUGCCGCGUGAGUGAUGAAGGCCUUAGGGUUGUAAAGCUCUUUUACCCGGGAUGAUAAUGACAGUACCGGGAGAAUAAGCUCCGGCUAACUCCGUGCCAGCCGCCGCAGUAA